AGACUCCAGAAUCCACUCUGGCUGGAAUCCGGUGGAUACAGCUGUGUUACAGGUGUGGGGAUAAUAUGUAAGACUGCAGUGAAGAGAUGCACCAGAUUAAUCCCUGGCCAAAGAACAGUUCGCCACAGUCGCUGUCCACAUGGGUCAGUGGGACCAAGCAGCACUCUGCUAAUGUGUGGACUCUGACCAGCAACAUCCAGCAAGACCCAGACAGCGUUUUCUAUCUCCCAGCUGGAGUUUUUUGUUUGUCUGUGACUGGAGAGUCAGAUUUUUGUUGAAGCUGGAGGAACAGAGAGGUUAAUACACGCUACUGAUCCCUGAUGGGAGAAUCAUCACCUCUGCCAACAAAGAAGCCUGGUGGAUGUUUGUUUGCAGUCUGAUGAUGGGACAUCAUGCUCUGCAUCUUCAAAUCUUUUUGCAGGAUCAGAAAACAAAACCAGGAUGACCAUAAAUGUUUCUUCUCCAAUUGGAUGAUGAUAAGACUGUGACACGGGAUGCCACCUUUAGUCUUGUGAUGAAGCAAAGCUCAGGAAGAAGUGUGAUUAAAUGGUACCCACAUGUGUGCUGCUGAGAAGGAUGUACAGGGGCACCUGCAGCCAAAUCCAAGCCGCCUCAGCAACUUCAGGUCUGUCAGCGUGCUGAGGUCACAGAAACAAGAAAAGCAGCUUGACUUCAGAGUGUUGUUUACAGUUUUCUGUCAUCAUGAUCUCCCCUGAAGUUUAUCACUAUUAGGCAAGCAAGCAGAGCAGCAGUUUGUGCUCACAGAUGGUGACGGUGUGGAGAGACGGUGGUGUUUCCUCAGAAGAACUAGCAGAGUCACAAAGGACACGAGUCCUUCUCACCACCUUGACUUGUUGAUCAGUGGAUACACUUGUCUCCCCUUUAAAGGAGACACUCUUAGAGAGAGACGAUCAGAGUCAUCCUUAAAUAUGGGCAGGAUAUCACUAUUGGACUGUCUAACCUGCAGGAGCAGCACUGAAUGACCACCACACAUGAUCAGUUCCUGCAACAUUCAGCAGCUCUGCUUUUGCUGGAGAGGAAACUACACCAGUGUACUGGGAUGUUUCACCAACACGUGCCAGACGCUGUUCCUUCAUGGUGACAUCACCAGAGACGGCCCGCCCACCUCAGGACCUCGCCAUUGAUCAUGAUGAUUUUAAUGAUGACAGCGAGCGGAACUAAGACUGUAAAAAUCAGAAUGUUUAGAUGCUUUCUAAUUAUUAAUGAAUACUGAGAGCCUCUUUCUGUGUUUUGUCUGUUUUGGGUUUUUUUUACCUCAUUUGUUACUAACAAAGUUCACCAAACUCACACAGUUUACAUUCUGUAUGUUUCCAUCUUUACCAGCCACAGUCUACCCGCAAUUAAGAAAAUAAUCCUUAGAAAUUGUCGUUUUUCUCUUUUGUAAUUUUGUAAUUCAGUGAAUAUACUGCGCUGCUUCCUUUAAUUGCGUCUCACAUUGCUUUAAGUUUUUCCAGUGUCCAGUUAUUUUUUACUGUUGUUUGAAUUCUCUGUAUGUUUGACCCUGUAGACUGUUUGAUGGACUGCUUGUCUUCCUGUUUGUAACCGACGCCUGUUUUUGACUAAAGAUUUGGAUUUCUGACUU